UACAGAGGGGGCAAGCGUUGUUCGGAAUUACUGGGCGUAAAGGGCGCGUAGGCGGCCAACUAAGUCGGACGUGAAAUCCCCGGGCUCAACCCGGGAACUGCGUCCGAUACUGGAUGGCUUGAAUCCGGGAGAGGGAUGUGGAAUUCCAGGUGUAGCGGUGAAAUGCGUAGAUAUCUGGAGGAACACCGGUGGCGAAGGCAGCUCGCUGGGACGUUACUGACGCUGAGACGCGAAAGCGUGGGGAGCAAACAGG
rnacentral:rRNA from 1 species